rnacentral:rRNA from 1 species
CCUACGGGCGGCAGCAGUGAGGAAUAUUGGUCAAUGGACGAGAGUCUGAACCAGCCAAGUAGCGUGAAGGAUGACUGCCCUAUGGGUUGUAAACUUCUUUUAUAUGGGAAUAAAAUGUUCCACGUGUGGGAUUUUGUAUGUACCAUAUGAAUAAGGAUCGGCUAACUCCGUGCCAGCAGCCGCGGUAAUACGGAGGAUCCGAGCGUUAUCCGGAUUUAUUGGGUUUAAAGGGAGCGUAGGUGGAUUGUUAAGUCAGUUGUGAAAGUUUGCGGUUCAACCGUAAAAUUGCAGUUGAAACUGGCAGUCUUGAGUACAGUAGAGGUGGGCGGAAUUCGUGGUGUAGCGGUGAAAUGCUUAGAUAUCACGAAGAACUCCGAUUGCGAAGGCAGUUCACUGGACUGCAACUGACACUGAGGCUCGAAAGUGUGGGUAUCAAACAGGAUUAGAUACCCGAGUAGUC